CGCUAGCGGCAGGCCUAAUACAUGCAAGUCGAACGGUAAAUCACUCGGGUGAUUGAGAGUGGCGGACGGGUGCGUAACGCGUAUGCAACCAACCCCCGACGGGCGGACAGCCGGUGGAAACGCCGGAUGAUACGCCAUGCGGCCGGAAGAGGGCAUCCUCAUCCGGUCAAAGCGGCGACGCGGUGGGGGACGGGCAUGCGUCCCAUUAGACAGCAGGCGGGGUGACGGCCCACCUGGUCGGCGAUGGGUAGGGGAUCUGAGAGGACGGUCCCCCACACUGGCACUGAGACACGGGCCAGACUCCUGCGGGAGGCAGCAGUAAGGGAUAUUGGGCAAUGGGGGCAACCCUGACCCAGCCAUGCCGCGUGAGGGAAUAAGGCCCUACGGGUCGUGAACCUCUUUUGCGCAGGGACAAGGACGGCGUCGUGAACGCCGUUUGAGGGUACUGCGAGAAUAAGCGUCGGCUAACUCCGUGCCAGCAGCUGC
rnacentral:rRNA from 1 species